rnacentral:rRNA from 1 species
AUACGGAGGAUGCGAGCGUUAUCCGGAUUUAUUGGGUUUAAAGGGUGCGUAGGCGGACGAUUAAGUCAGCUGUGAAAUGCCCGCGCUUAACGCGGGUAGGGCAGUUGAUACUGGUUGUCUGGAGUGCCGUUGCGGUGGGGGGAAUGUGUAGUGUAGCGGUGAAAUGCAUAGAUAUUACACAGAACGCCGAUUGUGAAGACCCUCUAAGAAGUGGUAACUGACGAUCAGGCACGAAAUCGGUGGGAUAGAACAGGAUUAGAUCCCGUGGUAGUCCCAGCAGUAAACGAUGAUUACUAGCCGGGGGCGAAGAGCCGCCGGUGGCCAAGCGAAAGCGAUAAGUCAUCCACCUGGGGAGUACGACCGCAAGGUUGAAACUCAAAUGAAUUGGCGGGG